CUGAGCCUGUGAUGUGCUGUUAUCCCUGUCUGACAGUCAUCUUGAGGAGGAAAGUUUCCACUGAGGCUCAA
rnacentral:snoRNA from 1 species